AAUAGAUACCCUGGUAGUCCACGCCGUAAACGAUGUCGACUUGGAGGUUGUGCCCUUGAGGCGUGGCUUCCGGAGCUAACGCGUUAAGUCGACCGCCUGGGGAGUACGGCCGCAAGGUUAAACUCAAAUGAAUUGACGGGGGCCCGCACAAGCGGUGGAGCAUGUGGUUUAAUUCGAUGCAACGCGAAGAACCUUACCUACUCUUGACAUCCAGAGAACUUAGCAGAGAUGCUUUGGUGCCUUCGGGAACUCUGAGACAGGUGCUGCAUGGCUGUCGUCAGCUCGUGUUGUGAAAUGUUGGGUUAAGUCCCGCAACGAGCGCAACCCUUAUCCUUUGUUGCCAGCGAUUCGGUCGGGAACUCAAAGGAGACUGCCAGUGAUAAACUGGAGGAAGUGGGAUGACGUCAAGUCAUCAUGGCCCUUACGAGUAGGGCUACACACGUGCUACAAUGGCAUAUACAAAGAGAAGCGACCUCGCGAGAGCAAGCGGACCUCAUAAAGUAUGUCGUAGUCCGGAUUGG
rnacentral:rRNA from 1 species